AGCCCCAUAGUGUAGCGGUCAAACGCAGUUUUCGUUAGAAAACGAUAAUUUCGGGUCAAUCAUCCGAGGCUUUGGACCUCGGGACUCAGGUUCGAAUCCUGGUGGGGCUA
rnacentral:tRNA from 1 species